CCUACGGGGGGCUGCAGUAAGGAAUAUUGGACAAUGGUGGCAACACUGAUCCAGCCAUGCCGCGUGAAGGAUGAAGGCCCUAUGGGUUGUAAACUUCUUUUAUAUGAUAAAAAACCAUUCUACGUGUAGAGUGCUGAUUGUCGUAAGAAUAAGGGUCGGCUAACUCCGUGCCAGCAGCCGCGGUAAUACGGAGGACCCAAGCGUUUUUCUGGUUUAUAAGGUUUAGUGGGUGGAUUGGCAAGUCGGUGGUGAAAUCCCACAGCUUAACUGUGGAACUGCCUUUGAUACUGUCAACCUUGAGUACAGAUGAUGUGGGCGGAAUAUGACAUGUAGCGGUGAAAUGCUUAGAUAUGUCAUAGAACACCGAUUGCGAAGGCAGCUCACAAAACUGUAACUGACGCUGAGGCACGAAAGCAUGGGGAUCGAACAGGAUUAGAUACCCUAGUAGUC
rnacentral:rRNA from 1 species